UACGUAGGGGGCUAGCGUUGUCCGGAAUCAUUGGGCGUAAAGCGCGCGUAGGCGGCCCGGUAAGUCCGCUGUGAAAGUCAAAAGGCUCAACCUUUGAAUGUCAGCGGAUACUGCCGGGCUAGAGUCCGGAAGAGGCGAGUGGAAUUCCUGGUGUAGCGGUGGAAUGCGCAGAUAUCAGGAGGAACACCAACGGCGAAGGCAGCUCGCUGGGACGGUACUGACGCUGAGGCGCGAAAAGCGUGGGGAGCGAACAGG
rnacentral:rRNA from 1 species